UUUCCGUAGGUGAACCUGCGGAAGGAUCAUUCAUAAUAAAGUGUUUUAUGGCACUUUUUAAAAAUCCAUUUCCACCUUGUGUGCAAUGUUAGAUCUCGUCAAUCUUGGCGAGAUUUUUAUACAUCAACUCAUUCUUUAACUAAUUUGUCUGAAAAAUAUUAUGAAUACUUAAUUCAAAAUACAACUUUCAACAACGGAUCUCUUGGCUCUC
rnacentral:misc_RNA from 1 species